rnacentral:rRNA from 1 species
GAGGAAAGCUGGCGGCGUGCCUAAUACAUGCAAGUCGAGCGAACAGACGAGGAGCUUGCUCCUUUGACGUUAGCGGCGGACGGGUGAGUAACACGUGGAUAACCUACCUAUAAGACUGGGAUAACUUCGGGAAACCGGAGCUAAUACCGGAUAACAUGUUGAACCGCAUGGUUCAACAGUGAAAGACGGUCUUGCUGUCACUUAUAGAUGGAUCCGCGCCGCAUUAGCUAGUUGGUAGGGUAACGGCUUACCAAGGCAACGAUGCGUAGCCGACCUGAGAGGGUGAUCGGCCACACUGGAACUGAGACACGGUCCAGACUCCUACGGGAGGCAGCAGUAGGGAAUCUUCCGCAAUGGGCGAAAGCCUGACGGAGCAACGCCGCGUGAGUGAAGAAGGUCUUCGGAUCGUAAAACUCUGUUAUUAGGGAAGAACAAAUGUGUAAGUAACUAUGCACGUCUUGACGGUACCUAAUCAGAAAGCCACGGCUAACUACGUG